rnacentral:misc_RNA from 1 species
GCACCUUUAUAUAAACGCCGACUUCCUUGGUGGGGUCCCACAUAAAUUCCACGCUAUUAUUGGACGGGGACGGUUGACAAACGUCUACCAUCCCAUAACUAAGAGGAACAUCGACCUCGAGCAAUCUUUCACCGGGCCUUGCGCGUUGCCAUGCGAGCAUCUGUUCCCGUUCAGUGUACUGAAGUCUCCUCUCGUGGAAGCAAAUGCGUAUUCCACUAAAAAAAAAAAACGAAAGCCAAAAAAUCAACAAAAGUGGACUCGUCGUAUUUUCCAUGUGUAGUCUUCGUGUGUCACAGACUGCCUUCCAGUUCUGGCACAUCUUACCUUUCCUUCUUCGGAUAAGUUCGUAACCAUGCAAAUUAUGUAGCUUUCUUUUUGCCAGAUCAUUCUCCAGAAAUCGAUGACCGUGUUCGGCUUUGGACCUUGCGUAGCUAUGUAAAACUUCUCUUUGCAGCCCUUGUGCAAUAAUUCAAUGUUUAUCGUUAGAAUUUUUUAUCAAGGUAAAAUCAUGCGUUUUUAUCUUAUCAAAACUUGCUACCUUGAUGUAAGUGGCGUUAAUAUAAUCCGAAUAAGGAUCGUCUGG